CUCUCUAGCCUUUGGCCGCCAUCCCCUCCCCCUAAUUCCCUCUCUCUUGUGCAGCCGCCCCCCCAUCCCCUCAACCCUAGCCGCCACCCCCUCCCAUCUCCUGCUCUCCAAGUGAUGUCCUUCCUCGCCGAAUCUUCUUCGUGUGGGUGCAAGUUCCGAUUGGAGAAUUGGUGGGAGGAAGUAAGGAGGAAGAGAGGAACCCAAGGUGACUUUGUGAUUAUCUUUUGUUGUUUAUGUGCUGCAAUCAAAUUGAUUAUAUGUUUACCCAUGCGAAUCGGUAGAGGUGCUGUCCGGAAAUUUUGUGGGUGGGCGAACAGCAGUAGUUCUAGUGAUUUCUGGGAUUUUUUUGUGGGUUAUUAGUGAGGAUCAGUGGGAGAAUCAUGUAGAUCUUUUUCAUACCUUUCCAACGAGUACUUAUGUGCUCGAUUCGGAGUUAUAUUUUAGGAGAUAUCGUGGUUUGAAUCCGGGUAUGUGGCUGUCCAAAAAAACAGAUUUCUGCAGGUGAGCGAACAGCAGUAGUUCUAGUGAUUUCUGGGAAUUUUUCGUGGGUUAUUAGUGGGGAUCAGUGGGAGAAUCAUGUAGAGCUUUGUCAUACCUUUCCAACGAGUACUUAUGCGCUCGAUUCGGAGUUAUAUAUUAGGAGACAUCGCGGUUUGAAUCCGGGUAUGUGGCUGUCCAAAAAACAGAUUUCUGAAGGUGAGCAAACAGCAAUAGUAUUAGCAGUUUCUGGGCAUUUUUCGUGGGAAAUUAGUGAUAAUCAAUAUGAGAAUCAUGUAGAGCCUUGUCAUACCUUUCCAACGAGUACUUAUGCUUUCGAUUCGGAGUUAUAAUUUAGGAGAUAUCGCUGUUUGAAUCCGGUUAUGUUGGUGUCCAAAAACAGAUUGCAGGGUGUAUCUUGUAGACGGGUUUGGGCUAAUUAGAUGUUGGAAUUUAAUUAUCAUUUGAAUAUAAAACUUGUGUGGAAUUUUAUGUAGAUGCUUCUGGAGUUUUUGAUUGAUAUCACUUCUGUUAUAAUUUUAAAGUUAUGAAAUUAUCAAGCAGCGCCGCUGCAGUGUGGUGGUGAUGGGGAGAGUUGUCGCUCGCGACGGGUUGGAAUUGUGCGUAGGUGCGGCGUUGUUUAGUAGCAUUUGUUAUGUUGAUCUGUGCACUAAGGUGUGUGUCAAAAACAGGUGGUGGACUUCCGGAUCGUACUUAGCACCAUUCCAAAUUCCCGGUGAAGGCAAGUAAAUACAGUUGUGGUUGCUACCGUUUGGUUUGCAUUCUAUGCCUUGUCAUUGAGUAUGCAUAAGUAUUAAAUGUGUUAAUCAUUGAAUUCUAUGACGAAGUUUAUUUGUUCGAAAGUAUUAAUUCUCAAUUGUCUAAUAUUGAGGAUGACCAUGAUUUUGGAAUGAUAUAUGUGGUUGAUUCCCAAUUGGAUGAAGUUGAAGUAUUUUUUUUGAAUCACGUUAUAUGAAGUGUUGUAGGCAUGUCAUGCAUCGCAUCAUCCAUCUUACAUGUUGAAGUUAUGUCGUGACCUUAUGGUCCGACCAUACCGGUACACUUUUAGCAUCGUACGUUUCCCGAGGAGGGGUACGAUGCGGCUUCAUAUCCUUAGAGGUAUGAAGGCAGAAGUCAUCCUUGCAUUUGCAGACAUUUGCACUCAUGAGGUAUAUGAAGUGUGACAUUACUAUGUUACUAUUAUGGUUUCUACCUGCGAGGUGUGGUAACUAGGUGUGUUGUACGUUGUAUUCGUGCUGCACCUUCGUAAUAUGAAGGUUGUGAAAUCAAGUGGUGGUAAAACAAUGUUCUUAUGUGGUUAAACAGUUUGUUAUUAUUUUACUUGCUGAGAUGUGUCAUCUCACUCUUGCAUUACUCAAUGCAGGUACUUGAUACAUGUUAGGAAUGAGG
rnacentral:lncRNA from 1 species